GAGUUUGAUCCUGGCUCAGAUUGAACGCUGGCGGCAUGCCUUACACAUGCAAGUCGAACGGCAGCAUGAUCUAGCUUGCUAGAUUGAUGGCGAGUGGCGAACGGGUGAGUAAUACAUCGGAACGUGCCCUGUAGUGGGGAGUAACUAGUCGAAAGAAUUAGCUAAUAACCGCAUACGACCUGAGGGUGGAAAGUAGGGGGACCGGCAAGGCCGUCAUGCUAUAGGAGCGGCC
rnacentral:rRNA from 1 species